UACGGAAGGCAGCAGUGGGGAAUAUUGCACAAUGGGCGCAAGCCUGAUGCAGCCAUGCCGCGUGUAUGAAAAAGGCCUUCGGGUUGUAAAGUACUUUCAGUCGUGAGGAAGGUGUUAAGGUUAAUAACCUUAGCAAUUGACGUUAGCGACAGAAGAAGCACCGGCUAACUCCGUGCCAGCAGCCGCGGUAAUACGGAGGGUGCGAGCGUUAAUCGGAAUUACUGGGCGUAAAGGGCACGCAGGCGGUUAAUUAAGUUGGAUGUGAAAUCCCCGGGCUUAACCUGGGAAUGGCAUUCAAGCUGGUUAGCUAGAGUCUUGUAGAGGGGGUAGAAUUCCAUGUGUAGCGGUGAAAUGCGUAGAGAUGUGGAGGAAUACCGGUGGCGAAGGCGGCCCCUGGACAAAGGACUGACGCUCAUGUGCGAAAGCGUGGGGAGCAAACG
rnacentral:rRNA from 1 species